rnacentral:rRNA from 1 species
UUUCAUGAGAGUUUGAUCCUGGCUCAGGACGAACGCUGGCGGCGUGCCUAAUACAUGCAAGUCGAGCGAACCGACGAAGUGCUUGCACUUCUGACGUUAGCGGCGGACGGGUGAGUAACACGUAAGGAACCUACCGAUAAGCGGGGGACAACAUCCGGAAACGGGUGCUAAUACCGCAUAGGAAAUGUCACCACAUGGUGACAUUUGGAAAGACGGCUUUGCUGUCACUUAUCGAUGGCCUUGCGGUGCAUUAGCUCGUUGGUGGGGUAACGGCCUACCAAGGCAAUGAUGCAUAGCCGACCUGAGAGGGUAAUCGGCCACAUUGGGACUGAGACACGGCCCAAACUCCUACGGGAGGCAGCAGUAGGGAAUCUUCCGCAAUGGGCGCAAGCCUGACGGAGCAACGCCGCGUGAGUGAAGAAGGUUUUCGGAUCGUAAAGCUCUGUUGUAAGAGAAGAACAAAUUGGAGAGUAACUGCUCCAGUCUUGACGGUAUCUUACCAGAAAGCCACGGCUAACUACGUGCCAGCAGCCGCGGUAAUACGUAGGUGGCAAGCGUUGUCCGGAUUUAUUGGGCGUAAAGGGGGCGCAGGCGGUUUCUUAAGUCUGAUGUGAAAGCCCACGGCUUAACCGUGGAAGUGCAUUGGAAACUGGG